rnacentral:tRNA from 1 species
AUCCCUGUAGCGCAAUGAAUAGCGCAUCGGACUUCUCAUCCAAAGGUCGUGGGUUCGAAUCCCACCUGGAAUA